GGCACAUCUGGUUCAGGGUUGUU
rnacentral:rRNA from 1 species